GAAGAAACGAAUAAAAACGGUUCUUCUCGUUGAUUUCACCGUCGCCGGAGAUCGUUUGGGACUAUCAUCAUCCACUCUCAAAUGAAUCAGUCUCAGCCACAGCCUCAGCCCGAUCCAUCAAAUCCCCUCCCUCCAAAACCGUCGCACUCCGAUCAUCCGGAUCCAAUUACCGACCAUCGCUCCGGCGACUAUUCUCCCUAUCCCAAGCUUGACCCUAGCGACGUCGCUCCCCCGCCCCUGCCAGAGAACUGGAGCACCGUCCCCAUGGGCUCCCAAUCCCAAAAUCCACCUCCGCCUCCACCUCAAACUCAGCCAAACAGCGAGGCUCGUGCUCCGAUCUACGAGGGAAAUGCCACCACUCUGCCGACUGAAGCUAAUCCCUAUGUUUCUGCGGCUCCAGCCCAUGGAAAUCCUUCUUCCGCCAAGAAUACGGUAGAUUCGAUGAAGGUGAUGCUUGGAAGAUGGGGAAAGAGGGCAGUUGAGGCAACCAAGAAGGCCGAGGAUCUUGC
rnacentral:misc_RNA from 1 species